rnacentral:tRNA from 1 species
GCCGAGGUGGUGGAAUUGGUAUACACGAUAGCUUGAGGAGCUAUGCUCGCAAGAGCGUGCAGGUUCGAGUCCUGUCCUCGGCACCA